GGUGCAGAGUGUAAGUAGUGUAAGUGAAUUGUCUCAGAAUAAAAUUGCUGUCAGCACAGGACCUACAGGUCACUCUUUCAGUGGAGCUCCACUCAGUUUAAUUCCCAGACAGUGCUAAGACUCAUCACCUUUUAUUGUCAUUGGAAAACCUUUAUAAAGCGCUACAAAAGGAGCUGCUGGAGGAAAGUCUCUUCUUCAGCAAUGACAGAGCUGCUGCAUGUUCUCAUGUCGUGAGCAGCCCAUUCACAUCAGAGUGGACAUUUUUCACACAGAGUCUCGUUUGGUAGAAGCCAGAGUAAACCAGACUUGCCUCCUGGAACCUGCAUACCAUGACAGUCCAGAGAUCAUACUUAUGAAGAAUUUUUUCCUGAAGACUCAAGUGGAGAAGUCUAAAUAAAGUGGUGCUCCUCAGGCUUGAAAACUGAAGAAGAAUAUGACAGAGGCUCAAAAUCAUGACUGAUAUGAAAGAGGUGAAUGGGAACCGAUUAUUUCCUCCUCCUUGUGAUACAAGAACUAGAGGUUCAAAAGAAACUAAAAGGAUAGUAGCAUAGAAUAAAAGGAGUACUGUUUCAUUAUUAUAUUGUGGAAG